ensembl:lncRNA
GGCAUGUAGAUAUAUUCAGGUCAGGAGUCUUCUCAAACAUGUGAAGUUUGGGGCAGAUUGGACAUUGUAUGUCUGAGUUAGAGCAACUUCCUUUUUCAUGGCGAAACAUCGAAAUUUGUCAGGCCGCCAUGGACACGCCGUUUAACGAAACCUCAAGAUCUUCGCAAUUUAAUAUCGCAAAGGGCUUUAGAUUACACUGAGCAAUUUUGGUGUUGAUCUGAAUAAAUCUCUAGGAGGAGUUCGUUAAAGUACAACCCCUGAAAAUGGCAAAAACAACACCAAUUUUGCAGGGAAAAUUCAAAAUAACCGACUUCCUGUUGGGAUUCGGAUUUCGUACCAAGAGACUUUUUUGUAGGUAUUGGUGUGUUACAUGUGUGUACCGAUUUUCGUACAUGUACGUGAAACAUAGCUCGAGGCGCACUCCGUUGAAUCUGUAUAGGUGGCGCUAUCGAGCCAUUUUUCCACACCCGAUGGAAUAUUGGCCUUCAGAUGUGUUCAGGCCAGGAAUCUUAUCAAACAUGUGAAGUUUGGGGAAGAUCGGACAUUUUAUGCCUGAAUUAUAACAUCUUUUAUUCCCAUGGCGAAACAUCGAACUUCGUCACGGCGCCAUGGACACGCCUUUUAACGAAA